rnacentral:rRNA from 1 species
UACGUAGGGGGCAAGCGUUGUCCGGAAUCAUUGGGCGUAAAGAGCGCGUAGGCGGUCCGGUAAGUCCGCUCUGAAAGUCCGGGGCUCAACCCCGGGAGGCGGGCGGAUACUGUCCGGGCUAGAGUCCGGAAGAGGCGAGUGGAAUUCCUGGUGUAGCGGUGAAAUGCGCAGAUAUCAGGAGGAACACCAAUGGCGAAGGCAGCUCGCUGGGACGGUACUGACGCUGAGGCGCGAAAGCGUGGGGAGCAAACAGG